GUUAGAGUUAGGAGGUGUUACUGAACAGACAGACAGACAGGUUAGGAGGUGUUACUAUACAGACAGACAGACAGGCAGGCAGAAAGACAGGUUAGAGUUAGGAGGUGUUAAUGUACAGACAGACAGACAGGUUAGGAGGUGUUACUAUACAGACAGACAGACAGACAAACAGACAGACAGGUUAGGGUUAGGAGGUGUUACUGAACAGACAGACAGACAGACAGGUUAGGGUUAGGAGGUGUUACUAUACAGACAGACAGACAGACAGACAGGUUAGAGUUAGGAGGUGUUACUGUACAGACAGACAGACAGACAGACAGACAGGUUAGAGUUAGUAGGUGUUACUAGACAGACAGACAGACAGACAGGUUAGGGUUAGGAGGUGUUACUGUACAGACAGACAGGUUAGGGUUAGGAGGUGUUACUGUACAGACAGACAGACAGACAGACAGACAGACAGGUUAGGAGGUGUUACUAUACAGACAGACAGGCAGGCAGACAGACAGGUUAGAGUUAGGAGGUGUUACUGUACAGAGAGACAGACAGACAGACAGGUUAGAGUUAGUAGGUGUUACUAGACAGACAGACAGACAGACAGGUUAGGGUUAGGAGGUGUUACUGGACAGACAGACAGACAGACAGGUUAGGGUUAGGAGGUGUUACUAGACAGACAGACAGGUUAGGGUUAGGAGGUGUUACUAUACAGACAGACAGACAGGUUAGGGUUAGGAGAUGUUACUAGACAGACAGACAGGUUAGAGUUAGGAGGUGUUACUGAAAAGACAGACAGACAGACAGGUUAGGAGGUGUUACUAUACAGACA
rnacentral:lncRNA from 1 species